ensembl:snoRNA
AUGCAUCUCUGACAAACCUGGAGCAGUUAAUGUCUGCUGCUAAUAUUUCCACUACAGAUGAAAGAAAAAGAAGGUCCUUGUGCUUUCUGUCUGUCUGUUUGUGGCAGCUAAGAUUGAAUGGGGGGAUACAGGA